rnacentral:rRNA from 1 species
GACGAACGCUGGCGGCGUGCUUAACACAUGCAAGUCGAACGGAAAGGCCCUGCUUUUGUGGGGUGCUCGAGUGGCGAACGGGUGAGUAACACGUGAGUAACCUGCCCUUGACUUUGGGAUAACUUCAGGAAACUGGGGCUAAUACCGGAUAGGAGCUCCUGCUGCAUGGUGGGGGUUGGAAAGUUUCGGCGGUUGGGGAUGGACUCGCGGCUUAUCAGCUUGUUGGUGGGGUAGUGGCUUACCAAGGCUUUGACGGGUAGCCGGCCUGCGAGGGUGACCGGCCACAUUGGGACUGAGAUGCGGCCCAGACUCCUACGGGAGGCAGCGGUGGGGAAUAGUGCACAAGGGGCGGAAGCCUGAUGCAGCAACGCCGCGUGCGGGAAGACGGCCUUCGGGUUGUAAACCGCUUUCGCCUGUGACGAAGCGUGAGUGACGGUAAUGGGUAAAGAAGCACCGGCUAACUACGUG